AUUGAACGCUGGCGGCAGGCCUAACACAUGCAAGUCGAACGAGUGGCGGACGGGUGUGUAAUUUCUGGGAAACUGCCUGAUGGAGGGGGAUAACUACUGGAAACGGUUGCUCAUACCGCAUACCAUCAGAUGUGCCCAGAUGGGCUUAGCUUGUUGGUGGGGUAACGGCUCACAAAGGCGACGAUCCCUAGCUGGUCUGAGAGGAUGACCAGCCACACGGGAACUGAGACACGGCCCAGACGCCUACGGGAGGCAGCAGUGGGGAAGAUUGUACAAUGGGCGCAAGCCUGAGGGAGACAUGCCGCGUGUGUGAAGAAGGCCUUCGGGUUGUAAAGUACUUUCAGCGGGGAGGCGUUACCCAAAGAAGAAGCACCGGCUAACUCCGUGCCAGCCGCCGCGGUAAUUC
rnacentral:rRNA from 1 species